GGGUUGUGAGGUUAAGCGACUAAGCGUACACGGUGGAUGCCCUGGCAGUCAGAGGCGAUGAAGGACGUGCUAAUCUGCGAAAAGCGUCGGUAAGGUGAUAUGAACCGUUAUAACCGGCGAUGUCCGAAUGGGGAAACCCAGUGUGAUUCGUCACACUAUCGUUAACUGAAUACAUAGGUUAACGAGGCGAACCGGGGGAACUGAAACAUCUAAGUACCCCGAGGAAAAGAAAUCAACCGAGAUUCCCCCAGUAGCGGCGAGCGAACGGGGAGCAGCCCAGAGUCUGAAUCAGCUUGUGUGUUAGUGGAACGGUCUGGAAAGUCCGACGGUACAGGGUGAUAGUCCCGUACACCAAAAUGCACAGGCUGUGAACUCGAAGAGUAGGGCGGGACACGUGGUAUCCUGUCUGAAUAUGGGGGGACCAUCCUCCAAGGCUAAAUACUCCUGACUGACCGAUAGUGAACCAGUACCGUGAGGGAAAGGCGAAAAGAACCCCGGCGAGGGGAGUGAAAAAGAACCUGAAACCGUGUACGUACAAGCAGUGGGAGCACCUUCGGGUGUGACUGCGUACCUUUUGUAUAAUGGGUCAGCGACUUAUAUUCUGUAGCAAGGUUAACCGUAUAGGGGAGCCGCAGGGAAACCGAGUCUUAACUGGGCGUUAAGUUGCAGGGUAUAGACCCGAAACCCGGUGAUCUAGCCAUGGGCAGGUUGAAGGUUGGGUAACACUAACUGGAGGACCGAACCGACUAAUGUUGAAAAAUUAGCGGAUGACUUGUGGCUGGGGGUGAAAGGCCAAUCAAACCGGGAGAUAGCUGGUUCUCCCCGAAAGCUAUUUAGGUAGCGCCUCGUGAAUUCAUCUUCGGGGGUAGAGCACUGUUUCGGCUAGGGGGUCAUCCCGACUUACCAACCCGAUGCAAACUACGAAUACCGAAGAAUGUUAUCACGGGAGACACACGGCGGGUGCUAACGUCCGUCGUGAAGAGGGAAACAACCCAGACCGCCAGCUAAGGUCCCAAAGUCAUGGUUAAGUGGGAAACGAUGUGGGAAGGCACAGACAGCCAGGAUGUUGGCUUAGAAGCAGCCAUCAUUUAAAGAAAGCGUAAUAGCUCACUGGUCGAGUCGGCCUGCGCGGAAGAUGUAACGGGGCUAAACCAUGCACCGAAGCUGCGGCAGCGACACUAUGUGUUGUUGGGUAGGGGAGCGUUCUGUAAGCCUGCGAAGGUGACCUGUGAGGGUUGCUGGAGGUAUCAGAAGUGCGAAUGCUGACAUAAGUAACGAUAAAGCGGGUGAAAAGCCCGCUCGCCGGAAGACCAAGGGUUCCUGUCCAACGUUAAUCGGGGCAGGGUGAGUCGACCCCUAAGGCGAGGCCGAAAGGCGUAGUCGAUGGGAAACAGGUUAAUAUUCCUGUACUUGGUGUUACUGCGAAGGGGGGACGGAGAAGGCUAUGUUAGCCGGGCGACGGUUGUCCCGGUUUAAGCAUGUAGGCUG
rnacentral:rRNA from 1 species